rnacentral:lncRNA from 1 species
CCGGUACAGGUCCCAAGCCCUCCUCUCCCUAACCUUGACGAGACUGUACAACUUUUUAUCCCCACCUUUACUAUCUAACAAUAUGUACAAAUUCUUGAAGGCAACAUCCUUAGCCCCCAUAACCACUAACUUUGCCUCUCGCCUAGCAAUCUUAUACUCCUCCCUAUUCUUCCAUUUAUCUUCUUCAUCCUUACUCCCAAUCAAC